CAAACUGCUUCUAAAUUUCUAACAAGGGCAACUUAACAGUUAACAUCAGACUAAUAUAUACAUAUCACUAUAAGAUGAUAAGCAGAACGAUAACAUAAACAACAUAAACCCGGAAUUCAUUCCCUCUGACUUACCCUAAACAAGUGCGAGGCAAGCGCGUCUCUAAUCUUCUUCCCACUUUCAUCAACCUCUCCAUCAAACACAGGAAACUCUUCAAAUCUCGGAUACUCCUCAGUUUCAUCUGUCACUGCUUCACUACACUUGAUAAGAAAAUUAUGCAGCAAACAGCAUGUCACAAUCAGAAAUGGGAACGCCUCAAUACAUUGCUUAUUCCAUUUCCUAGUUAGAAGCUUCCAGUUUUCCCUAACUCUCCCAAAAGCUGUCCCCACCAACUGCAUUCCUCUUCUAUGCACUGAAUUAAACGCCACUUCCGCCCCAUCUUCGACGCUGGAUUCUCCUCUGUAGGGUGUGAGAACCCAUGGUAAAAGUGGGAAACAGGACUCACCAAGAAUAUACUGAGGUAUUGAAUUGCCAUCAUUUAGCUCAAAAGAUGAACCAUUUAAGUACUCCUUUGAUUCCUCAACACCCAAAUAAAGCUUAGAUUUUCGUAAAAUAGUUUCAGGACUCAUAGUAGAAGGCCACCCAGCUGAUACAUCCAAGAAUCUUCCUUCAGAAUCAACCAAAGCUUGAACAAUCAUAAACCCAUUUUCACCCAGCACAUCACCACCCAAUUCGAACUUUUCAAUCCCCAAAACACCACAACAGUUAGGCAAUGAAAUCCAGCCAAACCCCACAAUAACCCUAUUGAUAUCACUCUUGAGCUCAAACAAAUGCCCCAGGUUCUCAGUAAUAGCUUUACAUACAGUGUAGAAAACGCGACAAGCAGUAGGGGAAUCAAUCCCAAAUCGUCGCGAAACAGCAGAAUACGAAGCACCAUGAGCAAGACGAAAAAGGGUCAAAGCAAGAGCGUAAUUAGGAGGAACAGAAAGUGAAGAAAGCGAAGGCGUUAGAAGACGAAGCAGAAGGGUAAAAGAGGGCUUCGUCAGAUUGAAUGUUUCAGCCCAAAGGGUAUCCGAAUCAGCCAUCAGAAAUCGCUGAAACCAACACUCGGGUACUGGGUCAUCGUCGCUCGGGGAGGUUACGGCGGCGCGUGGGGGUGGAGCAGCGCGUGGGGGCGGAGGAGGGAGGGAGAGAAGUGAAACGAUGUUGGAAAUGGAAGUGGAGGAUGAGGAUAUUAGGGAUUCGAGUGCAAGGGAUUGAUGAGGGAGGAGAUUGAGGUCAUUGCGGCGGAGGAAAGAGUAAGCGGAGGAAAUGGCGGCGAUGAGUUGGGGUAUGAGUUUAGUACAGUGUUGGUGGCGGAGUUGAAGGGUGGUUUUGAAUUUCUUAGUGAGUUUGAUUAUCUUCUUGUUCAUCUCUGUGAGUGUUUGUGGCGCGCUCAUAAACGAAAUAAUGCUUUGUAUAAUACUCUUUUAAUUCAUACUUUAAGGUAAUUUAUAGACUCUGGAUCAUAUUAAGUUUCAUUUCUGAGUUCUCAUGGUACAUUACUAUGGAGAGAGAACUUCAUUAUGCAGUAAUCUAAACUACCAUUGUUUAAAUUUUAC
rnacentral:misc_RNA from 1 species